AGCGAACGCUGGCGGCAGGCCUAACACAUGCAAGUCGAACGAACUCUUCGGAGUUAGUGGCGGACGGGUGAGUAACAGGUGGGAACGUGCCUUUUGGUUCGGAAUAACUCAGGGAAACUUGUGCUAAUACCGAAUGUGCCCUUCGGGGGGAAGAUUUAUCGCCAUUAGAGCGGCCCGCGUCUGAUUCGCUAGUUGGUAAGGUAACGGCUCACCAAGGCGGCGAUCAGUAGCUGGGCAGAGAGGAUGACCAGCCACACUGGGACUGAGACACGGCCCAGACUCCUACGGGAGGCAGCAGUGGGGAAUCUUGCGCAAUGGGCGGAAGCCUGACGCAGCCAUGCCGCGUGAAUGAUGAAGGUCUUAGGAUUGUAAAAUUCUUUCACCGGGGACGAUAAUGACGGUACCCGGAGAAGAAGCCCCGGCUAACUUCGUG
rnacentral:rRNA from 1 species